CGAGCGGGAAGGCCAGGCGGUGACGCCGAGCGGAACCCGAAAGCCCCUCUCAGUUCGGAUCGGAGUCUGCAACCCGACUCCGUGAAGCUGGAUUCGCUAGUAAUCGCGCAUCAGCCAUGGCGCGGUGAAUACGUUCCCGGGCCUUGUACACACCGCCCGUCAAGCCAUGGGAGCCGGGAGCGCUUGAAGUGCGUCGCCGCGAGGCGCGCCCUAGAGCGAGACCGGUGACUGGGGCUAAGUCGUAACAAGGUAUC
rnacentral:rRNA from 1 species